AGGCUGGCUCACUCCUGCUCUGCUGUCUGCUGCCCCAUCAGCUGAGGGGUUGGCUGGUCUGCAGUGGCCUCAGCUGGGGCAGCUCCUGUGCGCCACGUGGCCUGUCAUUCUCCGGCAGCCCAGCCCAGCCCGUUCACCUGACCUGUGAGAGGUCCUACUGGGUCCCAUUGAAUCCACACCAGCCUCAUUCGUGGGUUGCACCAUUAUGGACCACUAAGAAAGAAAGAAAAAAACCUGUCAACUAACUGGAAGAUGCAGUACCAGUCAAGAUGUGCUAGGCUGUGCUAUCAAAACAAAAGUUUUGUUUGAAUCCAAAAGUUCCAUGGCUAAAGAAGGAAGGUUUAUGCUUCUCUCUCCUCAAAUGCCCACUGGCUACGGCUUAGCUCCAUAUCACCUUCACUGUGAGAUCCAGGCACAUGGAACAGCCUCCAUCUGGAACUUCGCUGGCUGUUGAGGUGAACCUUCUAAAGCUUCAGCCUGGAAGUGACACAUCACUCCCCUUCACACUCCAUUGGCCAGAGCAAGUCACAUGGCCGCCCCUGGGCUCCUCCUGUAGGAAGGGGCAGCAACAGAAAUACAAUUUCCUACUCUUGUAUUAAUUGAAAGGCAUAUCCUGGUUUCCGAGUCUAAAAGGUGAGAAACAGCACAUCCUGGAAUUGAUGAAAUACGGAACUGGAGGUUUAGGUGGGUCUUACAAUGUGCCUGAGACCUCAGAGUGGCAAAGCUGGGGCGUCAGCCCAGGUAUCACCAACUCCACCUUUAAUCUGGCUGGAAUAAGCCCUUAUGGAGGUGGUAGAAUCUGUCAGGUCCUGGGGAAGCCUGGGGGGAUGGGGCCUAAAUUACUCUCCAUUUAUUAAUCUCUCUUUUUUAAAGACUCUUUUCUUUCAACAUGUGUCGAGCCAGCACUGUGCUAGUAGCACACUGAAGAAUGAGUCUCUAGUUCCCUUCAACAAAAUGUCCCAGGUCAGUCAGGGGUCAAAAGGAAGAGUCACAGAGGCUAGCUAUUAGCUGUGCAGAGGCAGGCGUGCCCUUGGAGGCUAGGAUGCACGUGGCCCCUUCCCAAACAGGGUUGGCUCUGGUCGUAAAUCGUCCCACAGAGAGGACUAUUUACUCUAGGCAGAGGCCUGUGCGUGGUGGUCGGGUGUCAGGAAGUGAGCUGGCCAUUGGAAUGGAGUGUGGGUGGGGUGAAGGGACGUGGUCACCGGCUUCCACUGAGUCACAGAGGGCUGAGGUGGGGAGGCUGGCGGGGCCCCGCCCUGGUGCAGCAGGAAGGACAAGGUCGGGGCAGAGUCAGAGGCUGGGAGCAGGGAGGAGGUGGAGGGCUGUCUCAGGCCCCAGCAGGUCCCCGAGGGGGCUGGCAAACAGGCCUUUGAUGCAAACGUUGCCCUGAGAAAACCACCCAGGAUCCAGCUGGCAACCCGGAAGGCUCCUUCUGGUGUUCAUUAACCUCAAGGCCUCGACCACACCGUGAACUCCUCAUAGGGGAUCCUCUGCUAUGCUUGUUCUGGGGUCCCCCAAUAAGCAGGCUCUCAAUAAAUGUCUAUUCACUGGUUAAUUAACCCUCAACACCAAAGAGCCUGACCAGGACCACUGAUCACUAAAACGAGACCUAGCCACGAAGUUUAGAGUGGAUCCACAGCCCUCGGGAACUUUCAGGCUCUUCGGAAAUCCAAAAUCAUCAGGGGAAAUCCAGAUCUCAUCUUGCUGCUGCUGCUGCCUCAAGAAUAAAAGGGUUGUCUCCACCCAGUGCUCUGCUA